rnacentral:rRNA from 1 species
AAAGGGUGCGUAGGUGGCCUGUUAAGUCAGGGGUGAAAGACGGUAGCUUAACUAUCGCAGUGCCCUUGAUACUGAUGGGCUUGAAUGAACUAGAGGUAGGCGGAAUGUGACAAGUAGCGGUGAAAUGCAUAGAUAUGUCACAGAACACCAAUUGCGAAGGCAGCUUACUAUGGUUUUAUUGACACUGAGGCACGAAAGCGUGGGGAUCAAACAGGAUUAGAUACCCGGGU